GGCGGCUCAGACGGCGCCCGGGAACAUGGUGCCGCCGCCGCCGCCUCACUACCCCCCCGCGCCCCACUUAAUGAACCAGUCCGCGGCCCGACGCCCGGGGGGCUCCGGGCUCCGCUGCCGGCCCGCGGCCUGCCGCCGCCGUGAGGAAAAACAAUGCGCCGAGCGGAGCCGCCGCCGCGCCGCGGCCCCCCCACCCCGCGCCGCCGCCGCCGCCGCCGCCGCCGCCGCCGCGGCCGCCGCCGGGCUCCGGGAGGCCGAGCCGAGAGGCGAGCGGGGCCGCCGGGGCGGGCGCCGAGGGCCGGGCGGAACGGGCCGGCCGGGCGGAGCGGGGUGCGCGGGCGGUUGUGGGGCCCGGGACCGGCGGGGCCGAGUAGAUCGCGCUCGAAGCCCCGGUCGGGUCCGCGACAAGAUGGCGGCUGUUGAUUCCUCAAUUAAAAAAAAAAGAAAGUUUUUUUUCUUCUCUUUCCAGAGCCUGAACGGGGAGGGGGAGGGGGCGGGGCACGCCGGUGCGUCACCCCCCCGCGGCGUCACCACGCACAGCCCCCGCCCCGCCCCCUCCACCUGCGCCGGCUGCGGCGGAAAGAGCCGAGCGCGUUCGGGCGGAAGAGCCGAAGGCGCGGCUGCCGUGCGUGGGGCGGCUGGCUGCCGCGCGGGGGCCGGGCCUGCGGGACGCCAAACGCCAUGCGAGUCACCACUUUUGUUCUGACGGCUAUCCCGGGGCCCGGCUUGAGACUGGAGGACGGCCAGGCGGCAGGCGAGGCCCCCAGGCGCGGAGUCGGCGCCGCCCGGGACCUAGCUGUCGCGUUCUGCCCCUGCUCCGGCUCCUCGCGUCCCUGUCCGCGAUCCUCCACGGUGACAUCGGGCGGGACCGCCGAGGAAGGACCCAGGCCAGGCCGUGCCACUUCUCGUUGCAUGCCAGCGGAGUGGCCUCUACAGGUUACAGGCCAGCCUCGGGGCGGCCGACCAGCGUUACAGAUGGGGAAACUGAGGCAGGAAGGAGCAGAGCAACUUCUCCAAGGGCACGAUGGGAAGAAGUUACAGGGCGAGAGCCCCCUCCCUAAGUAAAGCGAAGAAGACGCGGAGGUCCUGGGCGCCUGUCUCCAACUACAAGGUGAUGGGGCCCAGUUCUGACACCCUCAACUGCAAGAGGAGGGCGGUGAUCUCUGCCUGCCAGGGUCAAAAAGGGCCUUCGCGUCAGGACUGAGGGCCAGGAAGCCUCGGGCUCACUCUGGGCCACGAACAACCUCCUGGCCCCUCGCGGGUGCCCAAACAGGAAUGGGACACCUGGAAACCGGCACACAAUGGCCACUGCCCGUGGGUCACGUCCACAAAACUAAGGUGUACCCAUCUCAUUUCUUUAUCUGCCCCUCAAAACUUGCCAGCUUCUCCCUGAAGUUCUCAUCUUGAAGGUGUCACCAGCAUUAGUUUCCUGAGCCAGAAACCUGUGAAUCAAGUAGGCUCCUCCCUCUCUUCCGCCCAGGAAGCAGAAAGUCUACCCAGUCCUUUACCUGGAGAAACAGCUCCUUCUUCCCUGCCCCUCUGCCCUGACGUUGUCCCUCAGGGUCUGGAGACUAUGGUGGCAACUGGUCACUUAAGUGUGCAGUGAGCUUCGGUUUCUCCUCAUGUAGCACCAGAGUUAACUUCCUGGAAAAAAAAGAAUUUGAAAUAUUUAAAACAAAUAGCUCCUAUAUAUAGAAAAACAGAUCACUAAGAACAUACAUGAAGUCUGUCAAAAACUGUAUACCUACAUGGUCAUACACAUGUUUACACACAUGUGUCUCCAGCAUCAAGAUGGAGUGAGCUACUUUUUAUGUUCAUGCCCUUCAACACUUGCACUCCUGGAUCUGUCCUUACCAGUUUCCAUUGCUCAUGUUACCAUCAGCAUCCCAGCACACUCAGUCACUAAGUAGUUCUAAUCAUUCAGGCCAUUUUACACUUUUAUAAAUGCUGUAUCUGGUGCUGAUAAGCACAUGUGCUUGACCAACUCUAACCUCCUCCAAGACCCAGUUUCAAUGUCAUCUUCUCUGGGAAGCCCCAACAUCACUUCUGGACAAACUCUGAGCACGUAACAUACCCCCUGCCCCGUUCAUUCAUAUUUUUUUAUUCAUCAAAUAUCUCUAGAAUUUCCUGAGGGCAUUGCCACUGUGCUAAACAUAAAGAAAUCCCUAUACACUGUAUUUGAAAAGUUAAAGUAGCAAACCCUGGAAGUCACAAACAAUAUUCAGAGAAUCAGUUUUUGCAAGAAAGGCAGGGAGCAUAUGGAGUCAGAGUGACAUGGGGUUAGCAACACCCUGCAUCUGAAUGUGCCCAGUGUCCAUCUUACAAUAGGUAGGGCAAGGGCUGUAGGUUUGUAAAUUUGAUGAAAUAAGUGAUGAACAGUGUCAGAUCCCCUGUGUCCUGGAAGCUUCUAGGCCUCUGAGAAGGGUGGGCCCCAGCCAACCUACUGCCCUAUAGAGGAAACAAGGUGUCUAGAGGCCUUGGGGUGGGGCAAUGGAGAUACCACACAACCCAGAGAAGCGCUUGAUAAGUCACUCACACUGCAGGGCACACAAGUUCUGAUUCCCUACUGUUGAACUGAAAGGGUACCGAGUCACACAACAUUUUACAGAGGAGGAAACUGGGGGACCCAGUGAAAGGAUUCUCACAGAGUUCACGCAAAGUCCAAAGACCAUGCCACACUCCAGAAUCCCACCCAAGAGAUUUCUUGUAGGUAACAGGAGGCAAACCAACAAAGCUGUCCCUCCAGGGAAGCAGCAGCCUGUUGGCACUCUCAGAGCAGCUUUAUAGCCACAAGAGGAAUCUCAUAAGCUGCUUAGGAGUUUAAGCUGGGGUGGAGUUGAUUGUAAACUGUUCAAACUGGGGUGGGGUUGAUAGCAGGCGCGAGUUCUUAGCUUUGCCUCAGAAUGGAAACUUUGAAACCUCUAGUUAUAUAAUGGCUCCUGGGCUGGGGUUGUGGCUCAGAGGUAAAGCACUUGCCUACCAUGUGUGAGGCACUGGGUUCGACCCUCUGCAC
rnacentral:lncRNA from 1 species